rnacentral:misc_RNA from 1 species
GAUGAAGAACGUAGCGAAAUGCGAUAAGUAAUGCGAAUUGCAGAAUUCAGUGAGUCAUCGGAUCUUUGAACGCACAUUGCGCCCUGUGGUAUUCCGCAGGGCAUGCCUGUUCGAGCGUCAUUUCAACCCUCAAGCUCUGCUUGGUGUUGGGCCCUGCCCGCUGCGGCCGGCCCUAAAGACAGUGGCGGUGCCGCCUGGCCCUGAGCGUAGUACAUCUCUCGCUCCAGUGCCCGGUGGUAGCCUGCCAGAACCCCAACUCUCGUGGUUGACCUCGGAUCAGGUAGGGAUACCCGCUGAACUUAAGCAUAUCAAUAAGCGGAGGA